rnacentral:rRNA from 1 species
UACAGAGGUCUCAGGCGUUGUUCGGAUUCAUUGGGCGUAAAGGGUGCGUAGGUGGCGAGGCAAGUCAGAUGUGAAAUCCCGGGGCUCAACCCCGGAACUGCAUUUGAAACUGCCUUGCUCGAGUACUGGAGAGGAGACUGGAAUUUACGGUGUAGCAGUGAAAUGCGUAGAUAUCGUAAGGAAGACCAGUGGCGAAGGCGAGUCUCUGGACAGUUACUGACACUGAGGCACGAAGGCCAGGGGAGCAAACGGG